rnacentral:rRNA from 1 species
UACAGAGGGUGCGAGCGUUACUCGGAAUUACUGGGCGUAAAGCGCGCGUAUGCGGCUUUGCAAGUCGGGUGUGAAAUCCCCAGGCUUAACCUGGGAACUGCAUUCGAGACUGCAUUGCUAGAGUAUGGGAGAGGGAAGUGGAAUUUCCGGUGUAGCGGUGAAAUGCGUAGAUAUCGGAAGGAACAUCAGUGGCGAAAGCGACUUCCUGGACCAAUACUGACGCUCAUGUGCGAAAGCGUGGGGAGCAAACAGG